AUUGAACGCUGGCGGCAUGCCUUACACAUGCAAGUCGAACGGCAGCACGGGGCAACCUGGUGGCGAGUGGCGAACGGGUGAGUAAUGCAUCGGAACGUACCUUUCAGUGGGGGAUAACGUAGCGAAAGUUACGCUAAUACCGCAUAUUCUGUGAGCAGGAAAGCAGGGGAUCGCAAGACCUUGCGCUGAUUGAGCGGCCGAUGUCAGAUUAGCUAGUUGGUGAGGUAAAGGCUCACCAAGGCGAUGAUCUGUAGCGGGUCUGAGAGGAUGAUCCGCCACACUGGAACUGGGACACGGUCCAGACUCCUACGGGAGGCAGCAGUGGGGAAUUUUGGACAAUGGGGGCAACCCUGAUCCAGCCGUGCCGCGUGAGUGAAGAAGGCCUUCGGGUUGUAAAGCUCUUUCGGCCGGGAAGAAAUCGCACGGGCUAAUACCCUGUGUGGAUGACGGUACCGGAAUAAGAAGCACCGGCUAACUACGUGCCAGCCGCCGCGGUAAAAC
rnacentral:rRNA from 1 species